GACAGGUCCUAUGAUGUUGAGCCUUGAAAGCCCAUCAGGGCUAGGGUUUGACUGAAGUUGCCUGUC
rfam:Ixodes scapularis strain Wikel colony gcontig_1107729070388, whole genome shotgun sequence.